AUUGAACGCUGGCGGCAGGCCUAACACAUGCAAGUCGAGCGGAUGAAGGGAGCUUGCUCCUGGAUUCAGCGGCGGACGGGUGAGUAAUGCCUAGGAAUCUGCCUGGUAGUGGGGGAUAACGUCCGUAAACGGGCGCUAAUACCGCAUACGUCCUGAGGUAGAAAGUGGGGGAUCUUCGGACCUCACGCUAUCAGAUGAGCCUAGGUCGGAUUAGCUAGUUGGUGGGGUAAAGGCCUACCAAGGCGACGAUCCGUAACUGGUCUGGGAGGAUGAUCAGUCACACUGGAACUGAGACACGGUCCAGACUCCUACGGGAGGCAGCAGUGGGGAAUAUUGGACAAUGGGCGAAAGCCUGAUCCAGCCAUGCCGCGUGUGUGAAGAAGGUCUUCGGAUUGUAAAGCACUGUAAGUUGGGAGGAAGGGCAGUAAGUUAAUACCUUGCUGUUUUGACGUUACCAACAGAAUAAGCACCGGCUAACUUCGUG
rnacentral:rRNA from 1 species